UACGUAGGGGGCAAGCGUUGUCCGGAAUCAUUGGGCGUAAAGCGCGUGUAGGCGGUCCGAUAAGUCGGCUGUGAAAGUCCAGGGCUCAACUCUGGAAUGCCGGCCGAUACUGUCGGACUAGAGUCCGGAAGAGGUGAGUGGAAUUCCCGGUGUAGCGGUGAAAUGCGCAGAUAUCGGGAGGAACACCAAUGGCGAAGGCAGCUCACUGGGACGGCACUGACGCUGAGACGCGAAAGCGUGGGGAGCAAACAGG
rnacentral:rRNA from 1 species